UGAAAGACAACAGUCAUCUGCAAGAUCUCAUCACCACCCUCCCCCCCAAACUGUCUGAAACCCUGGAGACUCCUCUGAAAAGGCACUGCAUUGGGUUUUUUCACAAACACAAUCUCAUUCAAACUUUCCAGCAUGCUUAUGAGAAAAAUAUUAACUCAAGAUUACAGAUGGGGAAACUGAGUCUGGGUGAUGCACUAUCUUGAAUCCAAGUGAGAGAAUCCAGGUUUCAACCUAAUUCAUCUUGAUCUCAAGGCCUCGGCUUCUCUAUCACACAGAGGUCCCAGAAGACCUGAGAGGCUGGUUACGCUACUCUCCCCAAGUUUCUUAGCACAUCCGCAAGAGAGCUGGAAACAGAAG